rnacentral:rRNA from 1 species
UAGGGAAUCUUCCACAAUGGGCGAAAGCCUGAUGGAGCAACGCCGCGUGUGUGAUGAAGGGUUUCGGCUCGUAAAACUCUGUUGUUAAAGAAGAACAUAUCUGAGAGUAACUGUUCAGGUAUUGACGGUAUUUAACCAGAAAGCCACGGCUAACUACGUGCCAG